GGCUUCGUAGCUCAUCUGGUAGAGCGCUUUCCGCACUGAGGCAUGGUGUUUCUGUCGCUGGUUCGAACCCAGUCGAAGCCA